GCGGACAUAGCUCAGUUGGUAGAGCCCCGGAUUGUGAUUCCGGUUGUCGUGGGUUCGAGCCCCAUUGUUCGCCCCA
rnacentral:tRNA from 1 species